rnacentral:rRNA from 1 species
CGGAAUUACUGGGCGUAAAGGGCUCGUAGGCGGCCAACUAAGUCGGACGUGAAAUCCCUCAGCUUAACUGGGGAACUGCGUCCGAUACUGGAUGGCUUGGAUUUGGGAGAGGGAUGCGGAAUUCCAGGUGUAGCGGUGAAAUGCGUAGAUAUCUGGAGGAACACCGGUGGCGAAGGCGGCAUCCUGGACCAAUAUUGACGCUGAGGAGCGAAAGCCAGGGGAGCAAACGGG